CCAAAUAGUGGCGCAAAGGCUAUGAUUAUGGAGGAUUGGACCUGCAAACUCCAGAACAGAGCAACCUUGUAAAAUGUGUGUGGGCAGCACAGAGACCUUGGGCAAGUUAACAGUUUCCUCAUCUGUAAAUACUGAUUUAUGGAAAGCACCUGGUGUAUGUUCUGCCCUCUGAGGACCCUGCCCUUUCCCAAAAGGGGUAUCUUAAGAAGGAAAAUAUGGCUGCUCUUUGCCGGACAGCAGAGUCCCAGAACCCCAUGCAGGUGUUUCAGGGCUUUACGUCAUUCAAGGAUGUGGCUGUGAACUUCACUAGGAAGAAUGGAGAGUACUGGACCUUGCUCAGAGAGUCUUGUACAGGGAUGUAAUGCUGGAGAACUAUAGGAACCUGGUCUCCUUGGGAUUUCCAUUUUCCAAACCUGGUAUCAUCUCCUAGUUGGAAGAAGUGGUAGGCCCACGAACGCAAAUGCAGGAGGGAGAGGUGCCAAGAAGCAGCUGUACACGCUGAACUCCAGUGCACCCAGUUAGACUUGGAGCGGAAACUCAAGUUGAAUGAAAAUGCCAUCUCCAGGCUCCAGGCUAACCAAAAGUCUGUUCUGGUGUCGGUGUCAGAGGUCAAAGCAGUGGCUGAAAUGCAGUUUGGGGAACUCCUUGCUGCUGUGAGGAAGGCCCAGGCCAAUGUGAUGCUCUUCUUAGAGGAGAAGGAGCAAGCUGCGCUGAGCCAGGCCAACGGUAUCAAGGCCCACCUGGAGUACAGGAGUGCCGAGAUGGAGAAGAGUAAGCAGGAGCUGGAGACGAUGGCGGCCAUCAGCAACACUGUCCAGUUCUUGGAGGAGUACUGCAAGUUUAAGAACACUGAAGACAUCACCUUCCCUAGUGUUUACAUAGGGCUGAAGGAUAAACUCUCGGGCAUCCGCAAAGUUAUCACGGAAUCCACUGUACACUUAAUCCAGUUGCUGGAGAACUAUAAGAAAAAGCUCCAGGAGUUUUCCAAGGAAGAGGAGUAUGACAUCAGAACUCAAGUGUCUGCCAUUGUUCAGCGCAAAUAUUGGACUUCCAAACCUGAGCCCAGCACCAGGGAACAGUUCCUCCAAUAUGUGCAUGACAUCACGUUCGACCCGGACACAGCACACAAGUAUCUCCGGCUGCAGGAGGAGAACCGCAAGGUCACCAACACCACGCCCUGGGAGCAUCCCUACCCGGACCUCCCCAGCAGGUUCCUGCACUGGCGGCAGGUGCUGUCCCAGCAGAGUCUGUACCUGCACAGGUACUAUUUUGAGGUGGAGAUCUUCGGGGCAGGCACCUAUGUUGGCCUGACCUGCAAAGGCAUCGACCAGAAAGGGGAGGAGCGCAGCAGUUGCAUUUCCGGAAACAACUUCUCCUGGAGCCUCCAAUGGAACGGGAAGGAGUUCACGGCCUGGUACAGUGACAUGGAGACCCCACUCAAAGCUGGCCCUUUCUGGAGGCUCGGGGUCUAUAUUGACUUCCCAGGAGGGAUCCUUUCCUUCUAUGGCGUAGAGUAUGAUUCCAUGACUCUGGUUCACAAGUUUGCCUGCAAGUUUUCAGAACCAGUCUAUGCUGCCUUCUGGCUUUCCAAGAAGGAAAACGCCAUCCGGAUUGUAGAUCUGGGAGAGGAACCCGAGAAGCCAGCACCGUCCUUGGUGGGGACUGCUCCCUAGACUCCAGGAGCCAUAUCCCAGACCUUUGCC
rnacentral:lncRNA from 1 species